CACGGAGUUAGCCGGUGCUUCUUCUGUAUUUAACGUCAAUAAUGUAUGCUAUUAACAUACACUCCUUCCUCAAUACCGAAAGAACUUUACAACCCGAAGGCCUUCUUCAUUCACGCGGCAUGGCUGCGUCAGGGUUCCCCCCAUUGCGCAAUAUUCCCCACUGCUGCCUCCCGUAGGAGUCUGGACCGUGUCUCAGUUCCAGUGUGGCUGGCCAUCCUCUCAGACCAGCUAGAGAUCGCAGGCUUGGUAGGCCUUUACCCCACCAACUACCUAAUCCCACUUGGGCUCAUCUCAUGGCAUGCGGCCUUGCGGUCCCGCACUUUCGCUCUCGACACUACGCGGUAUUAGCUACAGUUUCCCGUAGUUAUCCCCCUCCAUAAGCCAGAUUCCCAAGCAUUACUCACCCGUCCGCCACUCGUCAGCAAGAAGCAAGCUUCCUCCUGCUACCGUUCGACUUGCAUGUGUUAAGCCUGCCGCCAGCGUUCAAU
rnacentral:rRNA from 1 species